CCUACGGGUGGCAGCAGUCGGGAAUAUUGCGCAAUGGAGGAAACUCUGAUGCAGCGACGCCGCGUGAAGGAAGACGGUCCUCUGAUUGGUAAACGCCUGUGACAGGGGACGAAAAUGACAGUACCUGGAGAGUAAGCUCCGGCUAACUACGUGCCAGCAGCCGCGGUAAUACGUAGGGAGCAAGCGUUAUCCGGAUUUACUGGGUGUAAAGGGGGCGUAGGCGGAUAAGCAAGUUAGUUGUGAAAUCCAUCGGCUUAACUGAGGAACUGCAACUAAAACUACUUACCUGGAGUACAGGAGAGGAAGGCGGAAUUCCUAGUGUAGCGGUGAAAUGCGUAGAUAUUAGGAGGAACACCAGGGGCGAAGGCGGCUAUCUGGCCAUUUACUGACGCUGAGGCUCGAAAGUGUGGGGAGCAAACAGGAUUAGAUACCCUUGUAGUC
rnacentral:rRNA from 1 species